rnacentral:rRNA from 1 species
AACUUUCAACAACGGAUCUCUUGGCUCUGGCAUCGAUGAAGAACGCAGCGAAAUGCGAUAAGUAAUGUGAAUUGCAGAAUUCAGUGAAUCAUCGAAUCUUUGAACGCACAUUGCGCCCGCCGGCAUUCUGGCGGGCAUGCCUAUCCGAGCGUCAU